rnacentral:rRNA from 1 species
AUGAACAUUGCACUCCUGACCCGUUGGCUCUGGCGCAUUGCUAAUGGCGAUGGAGGCCUUUGGUUCACCAUCAUCCGGAACAAGUACCUUCGGGGCCAGCCACUCACAUUCUGUCAGCGCUUUGGCGGCUCCCAGUUUUGGCAGGCCGUCAUCAAGCUGCUACCUGUACUCCGCAUUGGCACGUCCAUCUCGUUUGGUACUGGGUCCUCGACCCUGUUCUGGUUUGAUCGGUGGAUCGGCGACCUUCCCCUGGUCGCGCGAUUUCCGGAACUCUUCGCCAUUGCGAUUGGCCCUCGGGUCUCUGUCGAGGCGGCCCUUAUUGACUUAGGGCGCAUCGCCUUCUGUCGCCCCUUCGGCCCACCUGAAGUGGCCGCUAGGGAUGCCCUCCUCCUGGACAUCGCCCUCCUCCCGAUGAACGUCGCCGACACCCCGGACGCCAUCUCUUGGCGACUGGAGCCCUCCGGCUGCUUCUCCACCAAAUCCCUCUAUGCAGCCAUCGCCCCCUCGACGGCCCCUGAGUCCUUUAGUUUGAUUUGGGGCAUCCGCUUGCCCAUGAAAAUCAUGAUCUUCCUAUGGCAAUGGAUCCGCGGCCGCCUUUCAUCCGGCGUGGAGGUCCUUAAGCGUAAUGGUCCUGGAGACGGGAUUUGUCCCCUGUGCGGCACGGUGGAGGAUGUGAACCAUAUCUUCUUCACUUGCUCCACGGCCCAGUUUCUAUGGUCCUGUUUCCGCGAGACGGUCGGUGGCCAGUGGUGCAACACCAACUUCCCUGACCUGCUUGCGGAGAUUCACGCCUCCCCCUCGCUACCGCCAUAUUAG